CCCGCCGCUCCUUCGCCCUCUGCGCCGGCCUCCGACUUGGCCUCGCGCCGCCUCCCCGCCUGCGCCCCGUUUCCCGGGGAGCCCCCGGCCUCGUGCCCCGCAGCCCAAGGACGCCGGGGUUACUGGGAGUUCGGAGCCCGGCCGGAGGAGGGGGCGGGCUGGUCCGCGGCCGAGGCUGGGGGCGCGUCGCCCCUGGUUUUUAUGCAAACACUGAGACGAAUGAGGCUGGGAAUUGCACCGAGCACUGAAUCAAUGUCCCUGGAUCUCAGUGUGAGGUGUUGGAAGAGGUUCGGGUGAGGAAGAAAGUGGAGAAAAAGGUGGUCGAGGAAAAAUGUCUGCAGAAGUGCUUCGCUGUGCCCAGCUGAGAUGGAAACCAACAAAUAGACAUUAUGAUAGAAAAAUGAGGGCUCUGAGAAAUCACCAACUGCAAGAUAACUCUGUAACUAAUAAAUGAAAAGGGUCUUUUGA